UACGUAGGUGGCAAGCGUUGUCCGGAAUUACUGGGCGUAAAGGGCGCGUAGGCGGUUAUGUAAGUUAGAUGUGAAAUCCCCGGGCUUAACCUGGGAAUGGCAUUUAAUACUGUAUGACUAGAGUAGAGUAGAGGGAAGUGGAAUUUCCGGUGUAGCGGUGAAAUGCGUAGAUAUCAGGAGGAACACCGGUGGCGAAGGCGGUUCUCUGGGCAUGUCCUGACGCUGAGGAGCGAAAGUGUGGGGAGCGAACAGG
rnacentral:rRNA from 1 species